UAUCUCUGUAGAGUCUGCAUAUCAAUAAGCGGAGGAAAAGAAACUAACAAGGAUUCCCUUAGUAACGGCGAGUGAAGCGGGAAGAGCUCAAAUUUGAAAUCUUCAAGGUUUUACCUUGACGAAUUGUAGUUUAAAGAAGUGUUUUCUGUUGGUGUUUUGGUAAAAGUUCUUUGGAAUAGGACAUCAUAGAGGGUGAGAAUCCCGUAUUUGACCGUUAUUUUCAGCUGUGUGAUACACUUUCAAAGAGUCGGAUUGUUUGGGAAUGCAGUCCAAAAUGGGUGGUAAAUUUCAUCUAAAGCUAAAUAUUGGCGAGAGACCGAUAGCGAACAAGUACCGUGAGGGAAAGAUGAAAAGAACUUUGAAAAGAGAGUUAAACAGUACGUGAAAUUGUCAAAAGGGAAGCGUUUGACACCAGUGUUGUUUUCUCGAAAAUCAAUUAAAAAGUGUUGGAUUUUGUAUUGUUAAGACCUUAUCAGCUUACUGUACUUUUUUCCUGCUCUUUUUAAUGCACUUUUCGUUUAACAAGUCAACAUCAGUUUCUUUUGUUGUAAAAAGGUCAUUGGAAGGUGGCUUUCUUUUCGGAGAAAGUGUUUAUAGCCUUUGACUCCUGCAAUCGGAGAGAUUGAGGUCUGCAGCGUAGAUCCUUCGGGGUUAGAUACAUUUGUGCUAAGUUAUAGCCUUUCAUAGACAACUUGUUGACUAUGAUCAGUCAUGUAGCUUACUCGCUUAUGCUAUUUUACCUACGCUUAGGAUGUUGAUCUCUCACAGUCGAGC
rnacentral:rRNA from 1 species